rnacentral:rRNA from 1 species
UACGUAGGGCGCAAGCGUUGUCCGGAAUUAUUGGCGUAAAGAGCUCGUAGGCGGCCUGUUGCGUCCGCUGUGAAAUCCCGGGGCUCAACCCCGGGCCUGCAGUGGAUACGGGCUGGCUGGAGGCAGGCAGGGGAGAACGGAAUUCUGGUGUAGCGGUGAAUGACGCAGAUAUCAGGAGGAACACCGGUGGCGAAGGCGGUUCUCUGGGCCGUGUACUGACGCUGGAGGAGCGAAAGCGUGGGGAGCGAACAGG